rnacentral:tRNA from 1 species
AAAAUAUUUAAAAUUAAGCCGCUAACUUGAUAAAAAACAUUUAAAUGUUUAUAUUUUA